rnacentral:sRNA from 1 species
UAAGCGCGAAAAUUACUGUAAAAUUUCAAAUUAGUGUAACCAAAUUUAUUGAAGACAAAAAACUUAAAAAACUGUGAUGCCAGAUCGAUUUGCAGAAAAAGAGGAAGAAAAAUAAAAGCUCGGUUCAAACACAUUUGGGGCGCCUGGCGGGGCACAGCUGAGAACAAUUAGACGACAUUCUCGCCUGGAUUCCACACACACAUACUAUGUACAUAAAUAUGUAUGUAUGGCAAUCGUAGGCUAAUUAAGUGGUUAGCCACAAGGUUAGCUUUAACAAGAGGCAACCGAUUUGAAAUCCCGAGCGACUGCCAAACUCUCAACCAGGCAGCCCCCCCCCC